CACAGAGUUAGCCGAUGCUUAUUCCUCAGAUACCGUCAUUGUUUCUUCUCCGAGAAAAGAAGUUGACGACCCGUAGGCCUUCCACCUCCACGCGGCAUUGCUCCGUCAGGCUUUCGCCCAUUGCGGAAAAUUCCCCACUGCUGCCUCCCGUAGGAGUCUGGGCCGUGUCUCAGUCCCAGUGUGGCCGUCCACCCUCUCAGGCCGGCUACUGAUCGUCGCCUUGGUAGGCCGUUACCCUGCCAACCAGCUAAUCAGACGCGGGCCCAUCCUGUACCACCGGGGUUUUCCGCGCCAUGCCAUGCGGCACGCCGCGCUUAUGCGGUAUUAGCACCUAUUUCCAGGUGUUAUCCCCCAGUACAGGGCAGGUUGCCCACGCGUUACUCACCCGUCCGCCACUCGCGCGGCGCCGCAGGGGCCGAGGCCCCUGCCGCACGCCGCGCCCGUUCGACUUGCAUGUGUUAGGCACGCCGCCAGCGUUCACCCUGAGCCAGGAUCAAACUCU
rnacentral:rRNA from 1 species